UGUUUACAACUUUCCUCUGAUUCAAUCUUCAAAUUUGAUGUAGAUGAAUAGGUUGUUGAUUUCGGAUGAACGAUUGGAUGACUGCUUCAAGUUUUGAACUUGAAACAAUGCUUGGAUGUUUUCACCUCAAAGUUGCGGCAAAGAUGGUGUAGAUGUGAGAUUUUGAUUAAACGAUUGCUUCAAGUUUUGAGCUUGCAACAAAGUCUUGAAAGAAUCGGCAUAAGUGCUUGUUCAUUCUUCAAGGGAGUGCUUCGACUUUGGUCGAAAGAAAGCUUUGGCUUCGGUUAUAAGUUCUUCAAAAAGAGCUUUGGCAACGUAUUAGUCUUCAAAGAUUUAUGUAGAGGUUCUUCUGAAUGUAGGAUUUUUGGCCUUUCAAUGUAAAAAUUGUUGACCUUUAUGCUUGUCUUGGGACCUUGUAUUUAUAACUUCUCAAAGCUUGCCUUUGGAUGGAUUUGGCUUUGAUUUGAGUCUUGAUUCGUCCAUGGGAGAAUUUAGGCAUGUUUUGUGUCUUAAUUUCAGCCACCUACCUCAUAUUGGUCGAAAUUUAUAGACCUUGUUGCCUAUUUUUUAGCAAUCUUCAAUUCUUGCUUGUUUUGUGAAGAUGCUCUAGCUUUCUUUUCAGUUUUGGGAGCAAUUUGGGCCCCUCGCCAAUUUUAAGGAGAGAUUCCCCCUUUUGCCGAAUUUUAGAAAGGUUUUUAGCGUCCUUUGCUUGAUUUGUGCCACAUGUUAUUGAUGACUUAUCCAUUUGUGAUGAGUUAUAUGCCACAUGGAGCUUUGUGAUGCAUCACUUGUAUGUAACGAAAUUUACAUGUCUACAGAAGCAUCCUCCACCUCACAUCAAAGUAGACAGCAUGAUGGACGGAGAGACGUAGUGACUCAAUCCGGCUCAAGUUCAACCGGCAACCUAUAAGUAAUCCACUCG
rnacentral:lncRNA from 1 species